UGUUUGCAUUUUUAAUGGAGAAGAAAUUAAGACAACUGGGGAAAUGUGUAUAAGAAUUGGAUAUCAGAUGUUACUAAGGAAUUAGUUUAUUAUUGUAGGUAUGAUCAUAACAUUGUACUUAAAUCUCUAUAUUCCUAAGGAUGUAAGUAAAAUACUGCAGGUGAAAAGUGUCUGAGAUUUGCUUUAAAAGAUUUCAGUGAAUGGAAGCAACGAUGACACCAGGUAGCAGAAACUUAAUAAUUACUGACCAGAAUCCAUGUAAUGAGCACAGUGGAGUCUGUACGUUAUUCCCUGCAAACUCUAAUAUGUGCUUGCAAUUUUCAGGAAAUGAAACUAUUUCUGCUUCGAGUCUCAAGGCAUUGGCCAGGGCCGUUCUCAUCUGGAGGCUUCACCUGAAGACUGCUUUGCGACUCGAGACUCCAUUGGGAGAUGGCUGCCGUCCUUUUCUUGUGGCUGUAUGACCAGGGCUCCCAGCUGCUUACCAGAUAUUGGGUGGAAGACGCUGGGUCUUGAAGUCCCUGCUGUCCCCUGCCAUGAGGCUCUGUCUGCUGGCAUUUACCAUCAUAGCUGCUUCUUUAGAAGCAUCCUCAUCUAGAGCCUUGGACAGCAGGCAAUGAUGGGAGUGACAGCCACUAAGGUUUGCCGUACCCUGCAUGCUGACAGCAGGCCUCGGGUCCCUCAUGUUUGAGAGGAGACUGUAACACCGGGCGUGGAGAGCAUGGGCCAACUUGGAAUUCUGUCAACCACAGACAGCUCGUAAAGACUCCAUGGGGCUUGGGAGGAGAUCACGGAUUUGAAGGCAGGAAAUCCGGUGUCUGCUUCUGCUGUUUACAGUCGUCCCCGAUAUCUACAGGUGAUUGGUUCCAACUUCUCAUGGACACCAAACUCUGUAGGUGCUCAAGUUCCUUAUAAAAAAUGUCCCUACAGCCUUGCAACGUACCCCUAUACACUUUAGUUCAUCCCUAGGUUGCUCAUACUACCUAAUAGAUGUAGGUCCUCUAUAAGUAGCUGUCUGCUAUAUUGGACAGCACAGGCCUUGAUCCAUUCGGUGGUCUUAGACACAGGAACAAGAGAUUCAGACAGAGUGAGAUUCACAAACCUUGAAAUGUUGAAUCCACUCUGGUAGAGGAGCUAAUCUAACCGAUGCUUUUCCAUUCCAAUAGUGAGGAGGCUCCAAUGCCACUUAAUGCACUAUUAAAAUGUGUCUAAAAGUUGACUUUUCUCAAGAUUUACUAGAUGGGCAGAUGAGAGUCAGAGAGUCCAGCAGCUCCAAGCCCCCUCUUUUUGUGCUCGAGUUCGUCCAGACACAGUGCCCUUCCUAACCCUGCGUGUAUCACCCCACACAACAUCCAUGCAUCCAAGACACGCUGAGCAGCACACACACCUCUUCCAACCCCUUCUGAUGAGAUUUGAAGCAGGUUUCCCUCCUCGCUCCUGGGUUCCCAGGGUGGCGCACCAUGUCGAACAAGUCACCUGCUGCACUGUAAUCGUGUUGACAAGUUUCCCAUGGCAAAUUUGAUACGUCCUUGUUACUUUGUCCAGAAAAGGAAAACAGAGGGUCACCCGGAGGAAUCAAGCCUGAUCUGAAUUGAGGGGAAGCGAAGCAUGAAGGAGGAAGUGAACGAACUCCCCGAGUGUCGCUAAGAAACGUUUUUACGCAGCUGUGAACGCGUCUUCCUGUUUGCCAUCUAUUUGUUCUAAAGAAGAUGCCCAUUUGUCAGGAGGAGACUGCCAACAACCUACUCACGAUCUCCCACACUGGCCUCAGUUAUCACUGAGCAGGUACAGAAUGGGCACAUUUCACAUUCCGGGACAGUUUUUUAAAAGGUAAGUAUAAAAAUUAGUUGAGAAAGUACUUUUAAAAAACUAUACAAAUACAAAACAGUGUUCCUGUGGUUGUUCAUAAACUUAAAAAAGGAUCCAUUCGUGACAAUCUUGGAUGGCUGCUUUCAAGCACUGCCCCAUGAAAGAACUUUCUACCAACUGUGACAAUAAGGCUUUUGUCACGGAGAGUGUGGGCACCUCUUCCUCUUUCUAGAAGGGACGGAAAAUGUCCGAGACACUUCCAGUGGGUGAUGGGACUGGGCAGAGAGUGGCCGAGACAGCUCACUGUGCCUCCCUGCGAUGACGACUGGACCACAUGAGCUUCACUGUGAUAACGCAAAGGUUAACACAUAAGCUCUUGAAUUUGCAAUUAGAAAAGACAUUGAGACGGUGCACGCUCUUUUGUGUCUGGGACCGGUUUCUGUAGUGUGCCUUUGUGAAUCACAUCUUUGUAAGAGGGAAAAUCAAGAAAGGUAAAACGAAAAAGGAAUCUAGAAACUUCCGGCCCUCACCCCGCCCAGAACUCUGCUCCUUUCCAAGAUGUUCGGCUGAACGAGACCCUGACAAGCCUUGCGUGAGCAGGCGGGGCCCUCUCUGAGUUAGCAUUUUAAAUACUUUCUCAAAUUCCAUUUUAAAACUUGUGCCCUUGACUCCCAGGAAACUUCCCAGCAGCCCAGAUUUAAAACUCACCUCACUUUCUAGAAAUGGCUAAGUAUUUCCUGAAAAGAACCUCAAAAUUUGUUAAAUACUCUGCAGAUGUGAGGAUAUACCAUAAUAUGGAAUAUACCACAUACAUCUAAAAAUAGAAAGUCAUAAGCAAAAAAACAAACCAAACAGACAAAAAUACCCAAAGUCUUAUUUUCAAAGCAAAAUAUAUUCUGAAGGGAAAGAGAGAAAAGGCCUGUGGCCAGCUUUCCAAAGACACACAUCAACAUGGGCAAGGCCCUGGGUCCAAACCUCAGAAUCUCAGAAAGGAAAAAGCUGAUAUCGGGCAUGGUGAAGGAUGACUGUGACCCCAGCACUUGGGAGGCUGAGGCAGGAGGAUCACUAUGAGUCUGAGGCCAGGCUGGGC